CCUACGGGAGGCAGCAGUGAGGAAUUUUGGUCAAUGGACGAGAGUCUGAACCAGCCAAGUAGCGUGAAGGAUGACUGCCCUAUGGGUUGUAAACUUCUUUUAUAUGGGAAUAAAAUGUUCCACGUGUGGGAUUUUGUAUGUACCAUAUGAAUAAGGUUCGGCUAACUCCGUGCCAUCAGCCGCGGUAAUACGUAGGAUCCGAGCGUUAUCCGGAUUUAGUGGGUGUAAAGGGAGCGUAGGUGGAUUGUUAAGUCAGUUGUGAAAGUUUGCGGCUCAACCGUAAAAUUGCAGUUGAUACUGGCAGUCUUGAGUACAGUAGAGGGGGGCGGAAUUCGUGGUGUAGCGGUGAAAUGCUUAGAUAUGACGAAGAACUCCGAUUGCGAAGGCAGCUCACUGGACUGCAACUGACACUGAGGCUCGAAAGUGUGGGUAUCAAACAGGAUUAGAUACCCGGGUAGUC
rnacentral:rRNA from 1 species